rnacentral:rRNA from 1 species
AGUGAACGCUGGCGGUAGGCCUAACACAUGCAAGUCGAACGGCAGCACAGUAAGAGCUUGCUCUUACGGGUGGCGCGUGGCGGACGGGUGAGGAAUACAUCGGAAUCUACUUUUUCGUGGGGGAUAACGUAGGGAAACUUACGCUAAUACCGCAUACGACCUACUGGUGAAAGCAGGGGAUCUUCGGACCUUGUGCGAUUGAAUGAGCCGAUGUCGGAUUAGCUAGUUGGCGGGGUAAAGGCCCACCAAGGCGACGAUCCGUAGCUGGUCUGACAGGAUGAUCAGACAGACUGGAACUGAGACACGGUCCCGACUCCUACGGUAGGCAGCAGUGGGGAAUAUUGGACAAUGGGCGCAAGCCUGAUACAGCCAUACCGCGUGGGUGAAGAAGGAGUUCGGGUUGGAAAGCCCUGUUGUUGGGAAAGAAAAGCAGCAGGUUAACACCCCGCGGUUCUGACGGUACCCAAAGAAUAAGCACCGGCUAACUUCGUG